rnacentral:tRNA from 1 species
GGGUGUUUAGCUCAGUGGGAGAGCGCUUCCUUCACACGGAAGAGGUCACUGGUUCGAUACCAGUAACACCCACCA